rnacentral:sRNA from 3 species
UUGACAUACAAAUGAGAAUCACUAUUAUUAUCAAAUCCGGUCGCGAGACUGGUCGAUAACCUGAAAGACUCCUUGGUUCGGAUUUUCAGAUUAUCUCCUCAUCAGGCUAAUCACGGUUUUUGACCCGGCUCUUUGCCGGGUCUUUUUUUG